rnacentral:piRNA from 1 species
UAAUAGUGAUUGCCACGGCCAGUAAGUA